AUUGAACGCUGGCGGCAGGCCUAACACAUGCAAGUCGAGCGGAUGAAGGGAGCUUGCUCCUGGAUUCAGCGGCGGACGGGUGAGUAAUGCCUAGGAAUCUGCCUGGUAGUGGGGGAUAACGUCCGGAAACGGGCGCUAAUACCGCAUACGUCCUGAGGGAGAAAGUGGGGGAUCUUCGGACCUCACGCUAUCAGAUGAGCCUUGGUCGGAUUAGCUAGUUGGUGGGGUAAAGGCCUACCAAGGCGACGAUCCGUAACUGGUCUGAGAGGAUGAUCAGUCACACUGGAACUGGGACACGGUCCAUACUCCUAAGGGAGGCAGCAGUGGGGUAUAUGGGACAGUGGGCGAAAGCAUGAUCCAGCCAUGCCGCGUGUGUGAAGAAGGUCUUCGGAUUGUAAAGCACUUUAAGUUGGUAGGAAGGGCAGUAAGUUAAUACCUUGCUGGUUUGACGUUACCAACAGAAUAAGCACCGGCUAACUUCGUG
rnacentral:rRNA from 1 species